rnacentral:rRNA from 1 species
CCUACGGGGAGCAGCAGUGAGGAAUAUUGGUCAAUGGACGGAAGUCUGAACCAGCCAUGCCGCGUGCAGGAAGACGGCUCUAUGAGUUGUAAACUGCUUUUGUACAAGGGUAAACCUGAAUACGUGUAUUCAGCUGAAAGUACUUUACGAAUAAGGAUCGGCUAACUCCGUGCCAGCAGCCGCGGUAAUACGGAGGAUCCAAGCGUUAUCCGGAUUUAUUGGGUUUAAAGGGUGUGUAGGCGGAUUGAUAAGUUAGAGGUGAAAUGUCCGAGCUUAACUCGGGAACUGCCUCUAAUACUGUUGAUCUAGAGAGUAGAUGCGGUAGGCGGAAUGUAUGGUGUAGAGGUGAAAGGCUUAGAGAUCAUACAGAACACCGAUUGCGAAGGCAGCUUACCAAGCUAUAUCUGACGUUGAGGCACGAAAGCGUGGGGAGCAAACAGGAUUAGAUACCCGAGUAGUC